GGAGGCCAUUUUGUGUAAUUGAUAAAGGUGUGAGAGCGAGUGGACAGAUCAGACAGAUGGUCAGGAGAAGCAGAGCCCCUAGAGACUGAUUAGAAAAACAGGAAAGGACCAGAGGACAGCAGAGUCAGGCGUCAGUGCAGGGUGGGAAAGGAAAGGCCUCCACAGAGCGGACCGGUCCUGUGGAUCCGGUCCAGCAC